rnacentral:lncRNA from 12 species
CUUUAACAUAUGUUUAUUUCUUUUGUAUGAAAAUGUGACAAUAAUUAAUACUAAAAUGACAACAUGGAAUAUUGAAUUCACUGUUUUAAUAAUAGGGAUUUAGGCUAAUCAAAAAUUGUCAUUUUAAUUGGAAAACUUAAUUGAUGGAGAUAGAAUGUGUUUUCAUAAAAUGUGGAAGACAAUUUUAAAUGAUAUUUUCUUUUUAAAUAUAAGUGGCCAUGCAGUUACCAAGUGGUUUGCCUUUGUGAAAACUGAAAAUAUUACUGAGAUCAAAGAGACAAACUGAGAAUCCAUUUGACAUUUUAUUAAGAAAGUUUGGGAACAGUUCAUUUGGACUUUAAUUUUCCAUCCACUGAAGUUUAUGAUGGAGGAACCCACUGCCAAAGUCCACUCUGUGACAACACUUGAAGAAACCUCAGUGGUGAAACCAACAGACAGGAGAAGGGACAAGUGUUCCAUCUCUGGACACAUGCAAAUAACCCCGGUGUUAUCAAUGUCAGGGAUGGGUAGUGAGAUCCUUCCUAAGUAUGCAAGCCUGGGGAAAAGGGCAUGUAAUCUGUAUUAUUACUUGAACUGCUGUGGCAGCUCUACUUGUGUUAAGAGACUCACAGAUUCUCCUCUUCGUGGUUGUCAUCAGUUUUAAUUCUCUAAAUCAUGGACAGAGAUACGUGGAUACUGGUAAGUGUGUGUGUAAAUGAGGGAGACAGAGACAGAGACAGAGGUAGACAGAAAGAGAUCAAGAGAGAUACAGAAGAUUGACGAUGAGAGUUUGUGUGUUUAUAUCUGGGGUAGGUGGUGUAAGGGAUUAAGGGAGGGUAGAAUCCAAAGAAAGGAAGGAAAUGUGUUUAUUGCACAAAUACCUUAACAUAAUCAUUGGAGUAAUCUAAUUUUUCAUUUUCCCACGGAUCAUUUCUGAUAGCUGGGAGAGAGUAUCACAAGAAGGCUAUUAGUAAAGGCAAAGGAACAGAGAUGAUCCAUACUUAAGGUUCAGGAAAUACUGAAAUUUGGCUUUUUAACCCAUUGCCAGAUGUAUACAUAUUAUGUAAACUAAUGCAACAUUGUGGUUCUGAGGCCAAGUUACCCAUUUUUCAUUAUACCCUGGGUUAUGGUUAUAUAUACUGUAUUUAAAAAAAAUAUUUAUUUAUUUGAGAUAAAGGGAGA